AGAUUAGUCCCACAUUUUUAUCAAAUAGUAAAACAAAAAACCCCUCUGUUGUGUUAAUAUUACAAUCAACCCUAACAAUCAUUUGACUUUGAUAAAGUAACAUAAUAACCCUUCAUUUGACAAAUACCUUACAAGAUCAACCCAGUCCUAAACCAUUGAAACCAUUUAUCCAAAACAACCCCUCCCCUGAAUUAUUUUAACCAAAUCAGACCUAUUUAAGUUAAUUAAAUUACCAAAUAACCCCUAAUAGUUUAUAUUUGUUACGAAAUGGUCCCGAGAGUAUUUCAAAGUUCAAGAAUUAUGGAUUUACGGUUUCUCACGUCAAGCUUCUCAAAGAAACCGAAUUCGAACGAUUGGAACUCACGCAACGAAUCAUGGUGACGUUGCGAGAGAGACCAGCGGGUGGAUCAGGCGCCAGAGAGGGAUCAGGCUCGGGUUUAGGGGCCGAGCAGCUCGAGGAGCGGAUGAGAGAGUUGAUAUCAGCUGAGGUUACACGUAAUAUUCUAGCUCAGACUCCUGUGAUCUUUGGCAUGGUCAAGGAGGGUAUACUGGAGAUCUUGGAUGAGAGGCUGGGAGCCUUCCGUACCGAGAUGAUGACUUUGUUGGGAGCGCGUACCUUGACAUUUCGAGAGUUCAGGGCUUGCGGGGCACCAGAUUAUCAUGGGACUAGGGACCCCAUUGCUAGCAGCAGAUGGUUGGCUGAUGUUGCCAACGCUUUUCGUACGAGCAAGUGUCCCGAGGGGGACAAGGUUAGGCUCGCCUCCUGUCUUCUGAAGGACAGAGCGAGGGAUUGGUGGGAGGAGAUUGGUCAUGCUUUGGGGGAUGAUGUCGCGUUGGACGCGAUGACUUGGAGCGAUUUCUCGGCCAGGUUCAGGGCGGAGUUUUCACCGAUUAUUGAAGUGCAGCAGCUGGCACGAGAGUUUCAGGAUUUGACGCAGACUACUGAGACUGUGGCGGAGAUCACCGCCAGGUUCAGGGAGAGGGCUCUUCUUGUGCCGUAGUAUGUCGCAGAUGAGGAGAUGAAGAAGGCUCGGUACCAUGAGAUGUUGAGGGAUGACAUCAGGGAGUUCGUGAGCAGAUCCAGCUAUAAGACGCUGGAAGAUAUGAUUUCUCGGGCUAGAGAAAGGGAAAUUGAUUUGGAGCAAAUCCGGAAGAGGAAGCCGGAUGAGGUUCAGGUAGCUGCGGGUUCGGGCAAAAGGCCCAAGGGAUCGGAUUCGAGAUCGAGGGAUCAUCAGUACCGCAGUCGGUGCGGAAAGUGUGGCAGGGCGCUCGGGGGCGCGUGCAGGAGUGGUAGCGGUGGUGAGUCUGGCUAUUUCAAGUGCGGUCGGACUGGCCAUUUCAGCAGGGAUUGUACUGUUACUGCCGUGCAGGGAUCAGACUUGAUAUGUUUCCACUGCAACCAGCGGGGCCACAAGAAGGCCUAGUGUCCCAGUUUGUUUUCGGCAGGAUGGGUGAUGGCACCCGCCCCUGCAACUUUGAGGAUCACGGAUGGCCGUCAAGGCCGGGUAGAGGCACCUGUGGCAGGGAGCAGGGCUUUUCAGAUGAUGACCUUGGAGACGCGAGCAACGCCGGACGUUGCAGGUACUUCCGGUAGCGGAGGGAAGAGCUCGGAGUGAUCGCAUGGCACACACCAUAGUUUAGACAGCCUGGUAAUGUUUACUCUGAUAACGAAUAUGUAUUUUGGAAACUAAUACUUUGUUUAUGUUUUGAAAUGAUGAAUUUGCUUAACGUAAUGUUUUAUUAAAAGAAAUUUUUAGUCUUGAAUUUUGGGACGUUACACAUAUGACCAUCAAUUUUGAGCAAGAAUCAUCCAAAUAAAAAACAUGUCAAUAUGGUUAUUUCAAAUUAAUACUAUACUUCCAACUGCCCAUAAGUAACCGAGCCUUUGGUAAAUGUCACACCCCAAAACCAAGAACGGCGGAAACGUUCUGGGGCGGAGGACGUCAUGUACAGUAUCACAACACAGUAAAUGUAAAUAAGCAAACAACAUCAUCCAUUGCAUUAAAUAUAUAAUUUUAAUACAAGCGUGUUCUGUACAGUUUUAGACACCAAAAAUAUAAUGUCAAGCAAAAUAAUAUGAUGAGUCUUGAAUGCGCUCCAUCUUCUCAAA